rnacentral:lncRNA from 1 species
GUCAGAACACAGGACUACUCAGAGAAGACUAGGUCAGAACACAGGACUACUCAGAGGAGACUAGGUCAGAACACAGGACUACUCAGAGAAGACUAGGUCAGAACACAGGACUACUCAGAGGAGACUAGGUCAGAACACAGGACUACUCAGAGAAGACUAGGUCAGAACACAGGACUACUCAGAGCAGACUAGGUCAGAACACAGGACUACUCAGAGGAGACUAGGUCAGAACACAGGACUACUCAGAGGAGACUAGGUCAGAACACAGGACUACUCAGAGCAGACUAGGUCAGAACACAGGACUACUCAGAGCAGACUAGGUCAGAACACAGGACUACUCAGAGGAGACUAGGUCAGAACACAGGACUACUCAGAGCAGACUAGGUCAGAACACAGGACUACUCAGAGAAGACUAGGUCAGAACACAGGACUACUCAGAGGAGACUAGGUCAGAACACAGGACUACUCAGAGAAG